CGGUAUGCUUAACACAUGCAAGUCGAACGAAUUCUUUCGGGAAUUAGUGGCGACGGGUGAGUAACACGUGAGAACCUACCUUCAGAAUGGAAAUACAGUUGGAAACGACUGCUAAUACCCGAUGUGCCGAGAGGUGAAAGAUUUAUCGUCUGAAGAAGGGCUCGCGGCUGAUUAGCUAGUUGGUAGGGUAAAGGCUUACCAAGGCAACGAUCAGUAACUGGGUCUGAGAGGAUGAGCAGUCACACUGGAACUGAGAAACGGUCCAGGCUCC
rnacentral:rRNA from 1 species